rnacentral:tRNA from 1 species
GCCAGCAUGGUGUAGUGGUUUGAAUGUUGGACUAUGACUCUGGAGUCCAGGGUUCAAAGCCCUGCUUGGCC